rnacentral:rRNA from 1 species
AGUGAACGCUGGCGGUAGGCCUAACACAUGCAAGUCGAACGGCAGCACAGUAAGAGCUUGCUCUUACGGGUGGCGAGUGGCGGACGGGUGAGGAAUACAUCGGAAUCUACUUUUUCGUGGGGGAUAACGUAGGGAAACUUACGCUAAUACCGCAUACGACCUACGGGUGAAAGCAGGGGAUCUUCGGACCUUGCGCGAUUGAAUGAGCCGAUGUCGGAUUAGCUAGUUGGCGGGGUAAAGGCCCACCAAGGCGACGAUCCGUAGCUGGUCUGAGAGGAUGAUCAGCCACACUGGAACUGAGACACGGUCCAGACUCCUACGGGAGGCAGCAGUGGGGAAUAUUGGACAAUGGGCGCAAGCCUGAUCCAGCCAUACCGCGUGGGUGAAGAAGGCCUUCGGGUUGUAAAGCCCUGUUGUUGGGAAGGAAAAGCAGCAGGUGAAUACCCCGCUGUUCUGACGGUACCCAAAGAAUAAGCACCGGCUAACUUCGUG